UACGUAGGGGGCAAGCGUUGUCCGGAUUUACUGGGCGUAAAGAGCGUGUAGGCGGCCAAGCAGGUCCGUUGUGAAAACUGGAGGCUUAACCUCCAGACGUCGACGGAAACCGCGUGGCUAGAGUCCGGAAGAGGAGAGUGGAAUUCCUGGUGUAGCGGUGAAAUGCGCAGAUAUCAGGAGGAACACCAGCGGCGAAGGCGGCGCUCUGGGCCAGAACUGACGCUGAGGAGCGAAAGCGUGGGUAGCAAACAGG
rnacentral:rRNA from 1 species